CAAAACUUUACAUCAGGCUCAACCUGACGCUGUUGACUGGCUACGGAAGAAGGGCAAACGCUAGAAGAAGAAGAAGCAGAUGAAGUAUCAGCUGCCACAAGAUUCCAGAUGCUACCAUGAUAACAACCGGACUUCCCUGAGCAGAUGACCCCACCAAUGUGUCCUGGAGUCCUGCUUCCUCAGAGCCCUGUACCACUAGGGAAAGAGACAGGGUGGGAGUAUGGAUCGACCUGUCAAUGCCCAUGCACAGUGGUGGAGCAAUUACAGAAGCCAGACCUUCCACCUUCUGCAUCCCAUAAUGAUCCUGGGUUCAUACUCCCAGAGGGAUAGAGAAUGGGAAAGCUGUCAGGGAAGGGGAUGAGAUACAGAGUUCUGGUGGUGGGAAAUGUGUGGAGUUGUACCACCCUUCUCCUAGUUUUUGUUACAAAAAUGGCAUCC